CAAUCAACAAAGAGUAUAUGGUGGAGAUCUAGGGACCUAGAGCCGAUGAAGGGCGUGAUAACCGACGAUAUGCUCCGGGGAGCAGGACGUAUGCUUUGAUCCGGAGAUUCCCGAAUAGGGCAACCUUAAAAAUUCCUUCUUGAAUUCAUAGAGAAGAGAAAGACAACUCAGUGAACUGAAAC
rnacentral:rRNA from 14 species